AACGAACGCCGGCGGCAUGCCUACCACAUGCAAGUCGAACGAAUCCUUCGGGCGUAGUGGCGCACGGGGGCGUAACGCGUGGGCAUCUGCCUUUUGCUUCGGAAUACCAGUGAGAAAUGACUGCUAAUACCGGAUGAUGUCCCCCUGAGAGAUCUUGGGGACCAAAGAUUUAUCGGCAAGAGAUGAGCCCGCGUAGGAUUAGGCCGUUGGUGGGGGAAAGGCCUACCAAGCCGACGAUCCUUAGCUGGUCUGAGCGGAUGAUCAGCCACACUGGGACUGAGACACGGCCAAGACUCCUACGGGAAGCAGCAGUGGGGAAUAUUGGACAAUGGACGAAAGUCUGAUCCAGCAAUGCCGCGUGAGUGAUGAAGGCCUUAGGGUUGUAAAGCUCUUUUACCAGGGAUGAUAAUGACAGUACCUGGAGAAUAAGCUCCGGCUAACUCCGUGCCAGCCGCCGCGGUAAGAC
rnacentral:rRNA from 1 species